CCUACGGGUGGCAGCAGUGGGGAAUAUUGCACAAUGGGCGAAACCCUGAUGCAGCCACGCCGCGUGAGUGAAGAAGUCCUUCGUUCUGUAAAGCUCUUUUAGCCGGGAAGAAAAUGACGGUCCCUGAGUAAGAAGCGCCGGCUAACUACGUGCCAGCAGCCGCGGUACUACGUAGGUGGCACGCGUUAUCCGGAUUUACUGGGUGUAACGGGAGCGUAGAUGGUAGGGCAGGUCUGGAGGGAAAGGCGGGGGCUCAACCGGAGGAGUGCUCUUGAAACUGGACGGCUGGAGUGCAGGAGAGGUAAGUGGAAUGCGUAGUGUAGCGGUGAAAUGCGUAGAUAUUAGGAGGAACACCAGUGGCGAAGGCGGCUUACGGGACUGUAACUGACGUUGAUGCUCGAAAGCGUGGGGAUCAAACAGGAUUAGAUACCCCAGUAGUC
rnacentral:rRNA from 1 species